rnacentral:rRNA from 1 species
CUACGGGCGGCAGCAGUGGGGAAUAUUGCACAAUGGAGGAAACUCUGAUGCAGCAACGCCGCGUGGAGGAUGACACUUUUCGGAGCGUAAACUCCUUUUAUAUAGGAAGAAGAUGACGGUACUAUAUGAAUAAGCGCCGGCUAACUCCGUGCCAGCAGCCGCGGUAAUACGGGGGGCGCAAGCGUUACUCGGAAUCACUGGGCGUAAAGAGCGUGUAGGCGGAUUAAAAAGUCAGAAGUGAAAUCCUAUAGCUUAACUAUAGAACUGCUUCUGAAACUCUUAAUCUAGAAUAUGGGAGAGGUAGAUGGAAUUUCUGGUGUAGGGGUAAAAUCCGUAGAGAUCAGAAGGAAUACCGAUUGCGAAGGCGAUCUACUAGAGCAUUAUUGACGCUGAGACGCGAAAGCGUGGGGAGCAAACAGGAUUAGAUACCCUUGUAGUC